UACGGAGGAGGCAAGCGUUAUCCGGAAUUAUUGGGCGUAAAGCGUCCGCAGGUGGCACCUCAAGUCUGCUGUCAAAGACCGGGGCUUAACCCCAGAAAGGCAGUGGAAACUGAAGUGCUAGAGUGCAGUAGGGUAGAGGGAAUUCCCGGUGUAGCGGUGAAAUGCGUAGAGAUCGGAAGAACAUCGGUGGCGAAAGCGCUCUGCUGGACUGCAACUGACACUCAGGGACGAAAGCUAGGGAGCGAAUGG
rnacentral:rRNA from 1 species